GUCUGGAUAGCUCAGUGGUCUAGAGCAGUUGCUCGGAAAGCGAAAGACUCGGGUCACUUCGAUUCCCGAUCUAGCCA
rnacentral:tRNA from 1 species